UACGUAGGGUGCGAGCGUUGUCCGGAAUUAUUGGGCGUAAAGAGCUCGUAGGCGGUUUGUCGCGUCGACUGUGAAAACCCGAGGCUUAACCUCGGGCCUGCAGUCGAUACGGGCAGACUAGAGUUCGGUAGGGGAGACUGGAAUUCCCGGUGUAGCGGUGAAAUGCGCAGAUAUCAGGAGGAACACCGGUGGCGAAGGCGGCUCGCUGGGGUGUAGCUGACGCUGAGGCGCGACAGCGUGGGGAGCAAACAGG
rnacentral:rRNA from 1 species